GCCCCCUGGGAAAACACUGACGUUCAUGCACGAAAGCGUGGGAACAAACAGGAUUAGGAUCCCUGGUAGUCCACGCCUAAAAGAUGUUGACUAGUUUUCGAGAUUUACAUCUGAGUAACGUAGCUAACGCGUGAAGUCANCCGCUUGGGGAGUACGGUCGCAAGAAUUAAAACUCAAAGGAAUUGACGGGGGACCCGCACAAGGCGGUGGAUGAUGUUGGAUUAAUUUGAUGCAACGCGAAAAACCUUACCUACCCUUGACAUGUCACUAACGAAGUAGAGAUACAUUAGGUGCUCGUAAGAGAAAAGUGAACACAGGUGCUGCAUGGCUGUUGUCAGCUCGUGUCGUGAGAUGUUUGGGUUAAGUCCCGCAACGAGCGCAACCCUUGUCUUUAGUUGCUACGCAAGAGCACUCUAAAGAGACUGCCGGUGACAAACCGGAGGAAGGUGGGGAUGACGUCAAGUCCUCAUGGCCCUUAUGGGUAGGGCUUCACACGUCAUACAAUGGUGCAUACAGAGGGUUGCCAACCCGCGAGGGGGAGCUAAUCUCAGAAAAUGCAUCGUAGUCCGGAUCGUAGUCUGCAACUCGACUACGUGAAGCUGGAAUCGCUAGUAAUCGCGGAUCAGAAUGUCGCGGUGAAUACGUUCCCGGGUCUUGUACACACCGCCCGUCAUACCAUGGGAGUGGGUUUUGCCAGAAGCCGUUAGCCUAACCGCAAGGAGGGCGACUGCCACGGCAGGGUUCAUGACUGGGGUAAAGUCGUAACAAGGUA
rnacentral:rRNA from 1 species